rnacentral:tmRNA from 1 species
GGGGGCGUUAUGGCUUCGACGGGGGUAAGAUGAUAAGCGAGCCGAGGGAAGCAUGGUGCCUCGAUAAUAAAGUAUGCAUUAAAUAUAAACGCAGAAGACAAUUUUGCAUUAGCAGCUUAAUUUAAGCUACUCAUCCGUCCAGAUUGCCUACGAUUUGGGUAGCGGGUGUCAUAACAGUGGGAAACGAAGCCUAGCAAAGCUUUGAGCUAGAGGGGUAUUUAUGAAGCUAGCAAAUCAACUGCCUGCCUGUAGGCACCUUGAGGAGCGAAUUUUAAUAUAUAGGCUACGCUCGUAGAAAGUCAGACUGGUCUGCUUUCGGACAGGGGUUCGAUUC